rnacentral:rRNA from 1 species
CUUGUCUCAAAGAUUAAGCCAUGCAAGUGUCAGUUCAUGCCAAACUAAGGUGAAACCGCGAAAGGCUCAUUAAAUCAGUUACAGUUUACUUGAUGGCAUGACGUUACCGUUACUUGGAUAACUGUGGCAAUUCUAGAGCUAAUACAUGCACUCGAGUCCCGACCGCGUUAGCGCGCGGAAGGGAUGCUUUUAUUAGAUCAAAACCAAUCGGGAAAUCGGGCGAGAGUCCGACGUACCGUACAGUCUUGGUGACUCUGGAUAAAUUGUCGCUGAUCGCAAGGUCUUCGCGCCUGCGACGCAUCUUUCAAAUGUCUGACUUAUCAACUAUCGACGGUAUGCCACGUGCCUACCGUGGUGGUAACGGGUAACGGGGAAUCAGGGUUCGAUUCCGGAGAGGGAGCCUGCGAAACAGCUACCACAUCCAAGGAAGGCAGCAGGCGCGCAAAUUACCCACUCCCGGCACGGGGAGGUAGUGACGAAAAAUA